rnacentral:rRNA from 1 species
AUUGAACGCUGGCGGCAUGCUUUACACAUGCAAGUCGAACGGCAGCGCGGGCUUCGGCCUGGCUGCGAGUGUCGAACGGGUGAGUAAUGCAUCGGAACGUGCCCAGUAGUGGGGUAUAGCCCGUCGAAAGCCGGAUUAAUACUGCAUACGACCUGAGGGUGCAAGCGGGGGACCGAAAGGCCUCGCGCUAUUGUAGCGGCCGAUGUCGGAUUAGUUAGUUGGUGGGGUAAAGGCUUACUAAGGGGACGAUCCGUAGCUGGUCUGAGAGGACGACGAGCCACACUGGGACUGAGACACGGCACAGGCUCCUACGGGAGGCAGAAGUGGGGAAGUUUGGACAAUGGGGGCAACCCUGAUCCAGCCAUGCAGCGUGCGGGAAGAAGGCCUUCGGGUUGUAAACCGCUUUUGUUCGGGAAGAAAUCCUCUGGGCUAAUACCCCGGGGGGAUGACGGUACCGGAAGAAUAAGCACCGGCUAACUACGU